GACUUUAUAGCUCAAUGGUAGAGUGCUUCACAGGAAUUGCAGGACCGCAGGUUCAAUUCCUGCUGGAUGGCC